UAUACAACCUUGCAGGCGUAACGACUCUGCUAUGUGGGAGAUUUCCCAUAAUUUUUAUACCCUCCACCAAAAAUAUUAAGUUCGUCAUUCCGUUUGUAACUCAUCGAAAUAAUCAUUUACAAUCAAUCAUAAUCAUCGUAAUCACGCUACAGUCUAAACGAAUUAAGAUAGGAAGCUAAAACUUUGCACAGAUCUCUCUUCUGUCUGCAGGCAGGUCAAGUUCGAAGAUGAGCUAUAUCGGUCCACGAUAUCGUAUAGCCCCCAUAUAACGGUACCCCCGAUAUUCGGUAUUUUGAUGAUGUUAGCCACAUUUUUCAAUGGAAUUGUCUGAAAAUCCACACAAGUAGUUCCUUGUGGGUACUUUAUACCUCGGCAGAGAAUUGUCCAUACAGAUCCACGAUAUCGUAUAGCCCCCAUGUAACGGUACCCCCACGGUAUUCGGUAUUUUGAUGAUUUUUGCCACAUUUUUCAAUGGAAUUGUCUGAAAUUCCACAAAAGGAGUCCCUUGUGGGCAUUUUACCUCCUCAAAAAGAAUUGUCUAUAUAGGUCCACGACAUCGUAUAUCCCCAAUAUAACGGUACCCCCCCAUAUUCGGUAUUUUGAUGAUUUUACCCACAUUUUUCAACGGAAUUGUCUAAAAAUCCACACAAGGGGUUCCUUGUGGGUACUUUAUACCUCGGCAGAGAAUCAUCUAUAUAGGUCCACAAUAUCUUAUAGCCCCCAUAUAACGGUACUCCCCUAUAUUCGGUAUUUUUAUGAUUUUAGCCACUUUUUCCAAUGGAAUUAUCUGAAAAUCCAUACAAGGAGUUCCUUGUGAGUACUUUACACGCAGACAUAGAUUUGUCUUUAUAGGUCCACAAUAUCGUAUAUCUCUCCAUAUAUCGGCACCUUCCUAUAUUAGAUAUUUUAAAGAUUUUAAAAGAAUUUUUAUUGGGUUUAAUUUUUUUGAAAAUUUUCUAAUUCGUUUCAAAUGGUGGAGGGUAUUCAAAGUUCGGCCCGGCCGAAUUUACUGCUUUUUUACUUGUUUUAUUGUAUAACUUAGGCUUCGCUCGAGUGCACCUUAUGCAAUUUUGUACAAUAUUGGGUGUCAUAGCCUUCCCCUUGGUGAUCCAAUUUCUGUCUUGAGGUUGUGAAUAGCAACGUCUAUAUUUUUCGCGUAAUCCGACAGCUGAUGUUCUUGACUAUUAGUUGCAUUGAUUGGUUCAGCUCCAUAGAGGUCAAUACUUCUGUCGAGCUUCCAUGCUAGCGAAGUUUUAUCCUUUCGGCAAAUCGCAGGACAUAAUCGAUAGUUCUUUGUAGUCGACUAAAUGAGCCCUUGUGGGUGAUUCCAUAGAUGAUAUCCUGUUAUCCAUUCUUGCUGACACUGUAGAUUUCGCCUUAAAUUAAAGAUCUGUUCAAUUUCCUCUUUCUUUGAGAAAUGGUAUGGCCAGAUAGAUUCAUUUCCGUGUAGAAAUGUGGGUACAUAAAACCACAUCAUACAUCUUGACAGCCGAUUCGGAUUCAUGCCUCUGGAUAUGAAAUCAUGCCUCUGGAUAUGAAAGCUGCGAUUGGCCUUAUAUAUUUUUAACAUCUUUGGCAACGAACGUCCUCAGUGUUAAAGGUUUGGAAUUGAUCUAAUACAAUGUAAUCUCUGAAUCUGGCCAACAAAAAGUCCUUUGAUCUUCGUAACCCAAUUCGUCCUUGAAUUUUGCAGUUAGUUUUGCUCCCAAUUCAGCGGCACCAAGCUCUAACCGUGGCAAAGUGAUCUUCCUUAUUGGUGCCUUUUCCGAUUUUGAACAAAGGAGUCUGAUUACAUGCCUUCCACCUGGUAAAAUUGCCCGAAGAUAUAUCACAGCUCCGUAUGCCUUUUCUGAGGCAUCCACAAAUCUGUCCAUCGAACAUAUGAUUUUAUCGGAACGAUGGUUCCUCGUCCCAGCCAAUUUAAUUCUUCCACAGCUACUGAAUAAAGAUCUUCACUGCUGACACUACAGGAAUGGGUCGAACAAUCUUAUUAAAUCCGCUUGGUGAUCACAUCGCUCUUCAAACAAAAUGGAUCUGCUUAAGGAAUCCAUGUUUAACCCAAUAACUUCGUUGACGGCUUGUCAAAAUUAAGAUUUGCUUCUCUAUCUUCUGGAGAAACUCCAUGCAGCAGUUUCAAGUGAUUAGCACACCAUUUUCGUAGUUUAAAUCUUGCUUUCAGUAGUAACAUAUUAAUUUGAUUCUGUAUCUCAAUUGCCGUUGCUAAACUGUUAGAACAUGCAAUCACCAACCUAAAAAUGUUUUUGAAGUACCAGCGCCCUCAACGGAUGCUCUUGUAUGUCCGCAUCUGUUAGCCUUUUCAGACAUCCUGUAGUAAGGUAUGGGACGCACGUCGUUCAAUAUGUUAACGUAUUCAACAUGCAAUGUUCGAGUUCCUUGUCUUUAUCAACUUAAAAUUGUUUAUAUAUCUUCUCAAUGUCUGUUGUUAACACAAAUCUCGGUAGUCUGAAUGGCAACAACAUUCCAAACAGAUCUCCUUGAACCCUAGGACCUGAGUGCAAAAUAUCGUUCAGUGACCACCUAGAUGAUGACUUGCAACACAUAUCGAACACAACUCUGAGCUUUGUCGUGUCGCUAUUUGGCGUGGGGCACAAUGAUCUGGGAUGUAAUAAUGACGAACCUCUCUUGAUUUUUUCGUCAUAUGUCCCAGAUCCUCAUACUCCUUCAUACAUUUAGCAUACUGCGCCCGAAAACGUGCAUCCUCAGAUAGGCGACGCUCCAACGCAAAGAAUCUGGAGGUUGCUCUUAUGAAUCCCGUUGACUGUUUCUAUUGAUUCGAAGCGAUUAAUCAAACAUUUCAUGAAAUGUUCCACCGUUUUGAGGUCUUUGGUAUCCACAAUCGACUGCUCAUACAACACAAGAGUAGUUUUGUCCAUCCUCUUUGUUAGGAUGUGCAUUAAAAGUGGAUCUCAUUCGUUUGGCUUUACUCCAAGACCCUCCAGUGCCAAUUACAAUUCAUGAAGGCUGUCAUGAAAGUUCUUCACUGAUCUGCUAUCGCCAGAGUAUAGUUGAUACUUGAGGUCUCUUGUUGUUGUAUCUGUCUUGGAGUGUUCUCCACAUGAGUAUCGCCUUAUGAGUUUCUCAGAUACCACAUUUUUUGCAUUGGAUCGUUUUCCCAAAAAUGUUAGCAAAUGUUUGCCACUUCGAAUAAUCCUCAUUGAAUUGAUUGAUUUAAUUUUUAGCAGAUUAACUUCAGUUUCCAAGUUCCCGCCUGAUCUCUGCUGAGAUGAUGUACGAUCGACCUGUAUUUAUAAUGAGAAAAUUACAAUGAAAUACAAUGAGAAACACCGUAAGUCUUCUCCGCCAAGUUUCAACAAAAGUAAUGCCAAGCGGAAUUGGAAAAUGUCGUCUGAUUCGCCAAAAGAAGGAGAUAUGUGUAUGAGAUGUUUUAUACGUAAAUUAAAAGUGAUUUAGCGAGAAAACCUUUUAGAAAAGUUUCAGAAACAAAUUCCAUAUCUCUUUUGGAGAUUAUUCACGCAGAUGUAUGCCUAUGAUAAAAGACUACAUUGACUACAUGCCAUUAUUAUUAGCAGAGAUGUGGAAUUUAUUGAGCUCGAUAAUCGACACAAGAACACUGAUUCAAUGAAAACAAAUAGAACUCCUCCUACACUAAUAUUGUGAGUGUACCCUUAAAAAUUCUGAUAAAGAUUUGUGUGUUUUAAAAAAACUGGGUUACAGGGUUUGUUGUACUAAUGAUCCUAUUUCAUACAAAGGUUCUUUCUUAAGGUCUGACGAAUGGAUGGAAACUAUGUCUGUUGAAAUCAAGUCGCUACACGAUAAUCAAACAUCGUAUCUUUGGGAUAUAAGUUAUAAAUACAAGACCAGAUUUGUCACAAAGUGAUAUUCCCAACUGACGAACAAAACUUUGAAUGUGGAAGUGAAAAAUAUGGAUGUAAAGACAUCUAUCUAAAAUGGAGGGAUAGUAUCAGAAAUUUAUAUACGGCUACAGGAAGGAGGAAAAUAAAGAAAAUUUGAAUCUACGAAUAAAUGAAAACGAAUGAUGCAAGUCUUUAUAUGAUUUAUGUGCACAAUGUUAUCAAAUUAUAUUUGGAAAUUUAAGUUUAUAAUGAGGAUGGAACAAUUUCGAGAGCUGAGGCAGAAUCUCCCUUUUUGUGUAGGAACACGAGCAUUGCAACGAAUUCCUAGCAUUUUUGCUAUGCUAAUAUCGUCGAUGUUUAGGAAAUCAUCACACAACAAAUGAUCAUUUGGUAGAUCAUAGAUCGUCUGUUAAGUUCGCUGUCCAUUUGAAGAGAGAACCCAGUUGAUGCUAGAGCGGAUUUAAGCUCAUUUUUUGGAUUGAAUUGUAUUGGAAAUUGAAUGUGCACCGGAAAAUACAUCAUCAACGCACACAUAAUUACGAAUAAUCAUGCUUCCCUUUGGAUGGCUACUUUGAACGUCAUCAGCUAGUCGAAGCAGAUCUAAAUACGGAGCACAAUUGACACAAUACGUGAAUGUGAAAAAUCGUGUAUGUUUUCACCUAGGUAGUUGAGGAAGAUUACUCUUGAGAAUGGAGUAUGAUCAGAUUGAACCAGGAUGUCAUGUCGGUGCAUUUUCUGGAUGUCAGCGUUAAACACAUAUCGGAAAAAUCGCCAUUUGAGAAUCGACGUGGUCAAGUCAUUUUGCAACUUUGACCAUUAGAAAAAGCAGAGGAUACAUUAAAAACCACAUGAACUUUGGUGGUGGUGAACAAUCCUAACACAUAAAUGAUAAAGAUAUAUCGCAUGUUUGUUCUAAAACAUCCACGUAUUUUGAAGAAUAACUUAUCACCUUAUUAUUAAAAUCGAUUAUGUUGUUAUGGAUACAUCCAUAAAUGGCAUAUGGCAUUUUAGGCGUGCGUUUAGAUGAAAUCGCCUUUUUAACGUCUUCUUCUACUAACGACAAGUUAAUGGGCAUAAUUUUGGGCAGUAAUCCGUUUUCAAUCUCAGUAAAUCUUUCCUCUAAUGGUGGCAACUCUGAUUCAAAAGCAAUAUUUUAAUUGGUGUUGUACGGUCGGCAUAUAAACAGGAUCUGAGGCAGUCGUGGUAACAUAUUUGAUGAGUUUGGGCUGUUUCCAAACAUGUAAAACCCAUUAUCAAUUUUACUUAGUAUUACGGGUUUCUCUAGAUAUGUAGGUGUGUUCAUAUUUUGGAAAAUGGUUACUUAAAGCGGCGAUCCUUGAGGUGUACCGUUUUGCAAAUUAUAACUUUUGGAGAAGAAGUUAUUUACUUUACCAGCUAAGCCAUUUUUGGCACCAAUAUUUGAAAGCUCGAGAUUGAAAAGGAAGGAAAUGAAGUGCGGGUGGUAAUCUUGUACUAACAUUUGAAGACGUAAUUAUUUUUUAGCCCCUUUUUUUUUUUUUUUUUUUUUUUUUUUGAACGAACGUUCCCACACCUCACAUUUCCACCUCCCUUUACGUAGGGAUCGCGUACACAUGAUGAUCUGCAUCAUAAUGGGAAUUUAGUAGGAAAUUAAAAACUAGAUACAGAAUCUAAUUCAUCAGCUAGUUUGUCAAAUAAUAAAACAUGUAUUUUAAUUGUUUAAAAAUAAAAUUAUUCUAGAUAUAAUAACUUCUAAACUCGUACCAAAAUCUACAUUACAGUACACAGAAUUAAAGUCAACACACAUUUUACUAAGAGGUUCGCUUAUUGAAUAAUUCGUGGGGUGAAAAUCAGUAUAUAAUAAUUGGUAGUAUCUACUAGAUAUAAACGGAACAUUAAUUCCAAUAGAUGAGAUUGGGAAAUCUGAAAUUUUUAGUACAAACAUGGAGUUCAACAUAAUACGUCUGCUUUUAAGACGAAUAGCAGACAUUGUUUUUGCACGGAUUCUAUUUUAUCUGAGUAAAUUGCAUAUUGAGGAUCCCAUACCCCAUAUAGGUCUGACAAGAUACGUAAAUAACUGUUUUGUUAUAUAUGAAUCAGUUUAACAAAACCUAAAACCCCAUUUGCUUUAUUUAACAUUGUUAUUACAUGGCUAUUAAAAUUUAAUUUUGGAUCCAUCAAGAGGCCAAUAUCGACAAAUUAAUCUACAGUUGAUAAUGAAUGACCGUCAAUAUUAUAUUGCAAUAUGAGAAGAGAUCUGGAGAAACACAUGUGCUUACAUUUGCUUAAGUUUAAAUCCAUAACAUUUAACCUGCACCAUUGAAAAAAGCUAUCUAAAUCAUUUUGAAGUAAAGUAGCUUGUGUCAUUUAAUUUGUUGUUGAGCGCUCAUCUUUUUUACACUCUUCAAUCGCCUCUGAGAGUUUCUAAGUAGGAAUCUCAUUUGAAGUUUGCUUAGGGACAUUAAUAGAUGCUUCUUUAAAAUAACAUUUGUUAUAUAUUUGGUACGUGAGUACCAUUUUUCUUUGUUGGAUCUCUGGGCUGUUUUUGUUUGUGGCUCUAUGUUCCUGUCCGCAGUUGGGGCAUUAAUUAUAUGCAUAGUAUUGGGCCAUGUGAAAAAGAAGCACAUACAUCACAUGCCGGAGAGUUUUUGCAAAACUUUUUAAGUAUGUCCCAAUUUGAAUUUGAAUUACUUUUUGCAUUGUAUGGGGCUUGGUACGUACUACUUUACAAUGCAAUUAUUUAUGCCGACUUCGAUUGUUCUUGGUAUCUCGUACAGAUUGAAGCUUAAUAAGUUUCACCUUAUCAGUACGGAUUUCAGAAAAAGUGUUCUACAAAAAACAAACCUCAUUUAAUUCACUGCAGUUGUAAAUAGAGGAUUUCUUCAAGGAAAGCAAACUGAUGCAAUCUACACAGGCUUCAGCAAGGCAUUCGAUAAAGUUAAUCAUAAGCUAUUACGAUUAAAACUUAGAAACAUUGGACUUACAAAUAGAUGUUCCGACUGGAUUUUCUCAUAUCUACAAAAUAGAACACAAAAUGUAUGUUUUAAAAUCCCAUUUCAAAGGGUAUUAUAGUUUCUUCUGGAGUCCCCAAGGAAAUCAUCUAGGACCACUCCUAUAUAUUAUUUAUAAAUGAUCUACCUUCAUCUAUAAAAUUUAUAUAUGUAGAAACCAGUUCCUAAAAUAUGAUUUGAAUUCGUUUGCUAACUGGUGCAAUAUGGUGGGAAUGGUGGGUUAGUUGUGAGUUAGUGGUGCUAACACAUAUAACAUUUAUAUAUAAAUACUAGCUGGCCUGGUCCGCGUUGCUGGCCCGUAAUUUUAGUCUUUAAUGCUUAUUAUAUCCUCCACCUUGGAAAAGUGGGUAUAUAAACUUUUUCAUUCCAUUUGUAACAUCCAUAAAUGUUCGUCAUAGACCCCAUAGAAUAUACAAUGUAUAUUCAUAAUCAGCACAAAAUUCUAAGUCGAUUUGUCCGUCUGUAUGUCUGUUUGUUAUAAUUACGAUACAGCCUACAUUAUUUGACGUAGAGCAUCAAAAUUUAGCAGAACAAUUUGUAUUGUGUAUAGGAUGGUUGGUAUUGAAAAUGAUCUAUCGGUCCACGUUUUGGUAUAGUCCCCAUAAAACGGUACCUCUUGAAAUUCGGUAUUUUAAUGAUUUUUGCCACAUUUCUCCUCGGAUUUGUCUAACACAUAUAACGAUACCUACCGAUAUUGGGUAUUUUGAUAAUCCUAGUCACAUUUUCUCACAUAAUUGUUUCAAAUUUGGUAUCUUAGAAGGUUUGAUAGAUGACAAUCCUUGAUGUAUAAAACUGUCAACAGAGGUUUCCCUUUUGGUAUGGCCCCAUAUAACGGCCUCAUUCACUUUAUGGUUUUUUGAUAAGUUAACUUUGACUAAGUUAACCAAACCAUCUUUCUGGUAUAUGAAGUUUAAAGUGAAACACGCUUGAAUUCAGAUACUUUUAUAUAAAAAUGUUUAAUUUAUCCUAAGGUGGAUGAUAAUAAUAGUUCUGCCCGGUCGAACUUAUUUUUUUUACUUGUUUUUAAAGUAAUAAGUAGUAUUUGUCAUUGAAAUUGCGCGUUGGAGACCCCAUAAUGUCCAUAUCUUUUAUCAUAGUAUAAUUCAAAGACGAUUAAACAAAUGUCCGGCUCCUUAAAUCAUAUGAUUUCAUUUGCCGAAAUUAGUAUGAAAAUAUAGUUAAAAUGUAUGAUAUACUUGAAAUCGGUUUGUAUCCUUAUCCGGGGGUUAUGACCAAUAUCAUGAACUACAAAAGCGAUUUAAGGUAUCGUGAAAGUUUAGGAAGAAUUUCUGAAAGAAUAGAAAUCCUUUUCCCUCUUCUUUUCGCGCCCUUUAUAUUCGGCAUUUCACUGAUUUCAGUCCCAAUGAAUUUUGCAUAUUGAGUUCUCAUUGGACGGAUUAUUGUCAUGUGAAAGAAGUAGGUAGGUCCCCGUUUUGAAAUGAGCCCCAUAACGUUCUGCCGUUUUUUUUUUUUUUUUUUUGUUUAAAUGUGUUCGCAUCUUCGAGCUGAAGCACGAUGUAGAUCCUAGAAUUGAAAUCUAAAUUCCAAUUUCAGACAUGAAAGAUCGCUAAUUAACAUCGUUAUUGGGUACUAUUUCAUUUUUUAUAUUAUUCAUUCAGAAUUCAAAACAAUAAAAAUGUACACUUCUAUAUAGUUUUUAAAUUGAAAAAAUUUCACGCCAAAAGGAUUUCUUCUUUUAUAUUUUUAUUGGUAUGUUUUCCCAAGAUCUCAUUCCGAAGUUGCAUGAAUUGUGAAAAUCCGUCAAAACGUUCUUGAGUUAUAAGCAUAGUAACUAAUAAACAAAUUGAAAAAAAAAAUCUUCAACUUGUUCGCAGGUUUUUUACAGCGAAUGUUUAAAGGUCCUUACGAAGUUUGGUCCUUAAUAUUAUUUUGAAAUUUGAUUCCAUUGAAAAAAUGUUCUCUAUUUUUCCCAACUUUUGAGGCUCUUUUUUUGAUUUUUUAGCAAUUUUGAAAAAAGUAAUUACCCUUUAACUUUGGUUUGACCACGUUAAAUUAUUUUGACAUCAUCUAUUUAGGUCCACCACUCCAUAUUUGAAUUGAAUUAAAAAAAAAAAAAAAAAAAAAAAAAAAAACACUACAAAUGUACAUUCCAAAAUAGUAAGUCAAAAUGGAAAAAUCAUGCAAAAUAAAACAUUACUAUUGCACACCACAAAAGUCAAAAUGAACAUUUUCAAAUUUUACAUUUUUACGCGAUUUUUUGGGAUUUUAGACGAGCGGUUCUUGAGUUAUAAGCGUAGCAAUUAACACAACUUUAUUUGAUAUAUAUAUUUAGAUUAGAUGUUUGCGUGGUCAGUUCCUUAGCCCCCAAAUAAAUCCCUAGGGUUGGAGGGAAAGUCAACAGUAUCUCGUGUAAUAAUUUUCAAACCGAUAUCUUCAUUAUCUGGCGAAUAUAAAGAUUUUAGAUAAAUCAAGAUUGUGGGCGUAAAAGUAGGCGCGGUCAAUAUUUUUUCUAUAAAAACCUAACUCGGGGUAUGAUGAACGUCUGUACAAAAAAUUAUGCAAAUCGGUCCAGCCGUUUUCAAUUGAUUCCAUUACCAACGAACAACAAUUGAUUUUUAUAUAUCUACUACUAUCUGGCCCGGUCCGCGUUGCCGACCCGUAAUUUUAGUCGAAAAAGCGGUUAGAUCAACUAAGUAAGGACGUCACGAGCGUACAAUCAUCUGCGUUCAUAACUAUCUCUAUGCCGUCUGGAGGGCGUGGAAUGUCAGAAAGGUAGAGGUUAAACAGUUCCGAAGAUAUCACCUUACCUAGGGAGACUCCUUCUUUCGCUCUACGGUAGCUCGACUCCUUGUUUCUGAACGACUGGCGUCCACACAUGUAGUUCACAAUCCAACGUUUCAAAUUUGGCCAGAGGGCGGUGCGUUCAAUGUGCUCGAACAGUGUGGCAUGAUUGAAUGUAUCAAAAGCUUUUGAUUAAUAACAUAACAUAACUGUUCUGUCGCACCGCCUGUUCUGGUUGAAUUAUCUGCUGAUAUGUGUGGAGAUGGCGUGCAAAGCUAUCGUUGUGCUAUGCAAUUUUCGGAAUCCGUGUUGAUGAUCAGCUACUGGGAAACCUUCGUCUUUGCUACUGGUUACAAAAGUGAUAUCGGCCUGUUCAGCAGCGGGACCACCCUGCCCAUUUUCCAGGCAUCGGGAACUAUAAGGGUGGCUAAGGACCGGUUGAGGAGUUUGGUGAGAUACUCAACUCCUGGUUCAUCCAGUUGCUUCAACAUCACCAUAGAGAUUCCGUUAGGACCAAGCGCUUUAGAUGACUUUGCGCUUCUGAUGACAUGUGCAGCAUCUUUCAACGUAAAUUGUGGUGGUACCUCCUCGGCUGGAAGAGAUCGUACACGGCGUAGGAUUCUUCUCUUAGCCCUGUCACACUCGGAGUGCUCUAUGAAUUGCCCGUUUAAAUAACACGCGCACCUCUUCGCAUCUGUCACUUCUAUGCCGUUAAAUGAGACAUAUGUCCGAUCAUCCUUCUUUCCAGGGUUCGAGAGCGACUUAUUCUUUGCCCACAGUUUACUUGAUCUGGUACUGAUGUUUUAAUGCUUUAGAAGUUCUAGCCACUUUUUCCGCUUAUUCACCGACUAACCUGUUUACCUCCAGAGUUAGUUUCCUGACUCUGGAGUUAUUAGGUUUAGUACGGCGAAACUCAUCUCGCUCAUUUGCUUAUCCCGCUGCCUCUGCUAGGAAAUUUGGUCUUAUUUCAGGUAUUCGACCAGCAGGUAUAUUGCAAGCGGCUGCAGCUUUGAUAAUGUCCCGGAAACAUCUAUCUGCUACCUGUACAUCAGAUGGGUUGGGCAGUUCACUGAAGCGGCGAUUGGUAUAUUCUCUGAAAUCUUGCCAGUCGGCUUUCUCAUGGUUAAGGAAAGUUGCGGCGUUCAGUAUCUAUAAAAUCGGGUGGUCUGUUGAUGGCGACAAUAAUGGGGAGGCGGUCUGAGCCUAGCGAAAUUAUUGCCACGUUACGCCAUUCGUCAGACCUGGGGGCACGAUGGAUAUUUCCGGCGAACUGUGGCAGUCUUCCCUCAUUCUGGUGGGUGCGUCCUCAUUCACUGUACAAAAAUUGGAGCUAUCGAUUUGCUCAGCCAGCGCCAUGCCUCGCUGGUCAUUACCUAAGACGGAAUGUCAUAGUUUAUGAUGGGCAUUGAAAUUCCCUAGCACCAGACGGUUAUUGCCUACCAGAAGUGAACUGAUAUUGGGCAUAUAACGUGGGGCGCAGCACUUUAACGGCGGAAUGUACACGCUAAUCACCUCCGCCUCGGCGGUUCCACACUUGACCGCUACCUCCAUACAAUCAAUGUACGGGUCACUAGAGUCAAGUUUAGGCGAGAUAGGUCUGUACUGGACAAAGUGGUGCAAUAGGAACGCAAGCAAGAUUGAAUGACUCCGUUCCCAGAAGUAGUGGACUGUGAGGAAUUAGGAGUGAAUGAAACAGAUUUGCAGUUCAAAGUGGAUGGAUUUAUGACUAAGAACGUGAAGCAUUGUGUUGUAACACUAUAUUUUGGCACUCAAAUCACCUGUUUUUCAUGUGCAAUUUCGUACGUGAUGCGUUUUGGAGAAACAAUUGUGGCACAGACCUUGUUUUCGCUUACCAAUAACAACAGUUGUGAUUACAAGUUGGAUACUAAAUUAAUUUAUGGAGGACAAUUUAAAAACGACAAACGGACAUUUUGAGUAAUUGAGCGACACAAACGAAAGCAAAGCUCAUGGAUCCACUCGAAACUUAGGACAUAGAAUUAGGGGCGCCAGAUCGUAGAAUUUCGAAUUUACAGUUCUUAUUGCAUCAAAACAGAAUAAUCUAUUUUUAUCAAAAAAAAAAAAAAAAAAAAAAAAAAAAAAAAAAAAAAAAAAACACUUUCAAA